rnacentral:rRNA from 1 species
AUUGAACGCUGGCGGCAGGCCUAACACAUGCAAGUCGAGCGGGGUUUUCGGACCUAGCGGCGGACGGGUGAGUAAUGCGUAGGAAGCUGCCCGAUAGAGGGGGAUACCAGUUGGAAACGACUGUUAAUACCGCAUAAUGUCUACGGACCAAGUGUGGGACCUUCGGGCCACAUGCUAUCGGAUGCGCCUACGUGGGAUUAGCUAGUUGGUGAGGUAAUGGCUCACCAAGGCGACGAUCUCUAGCUGGUUUGAGAGGAUGAUCAGCCACACUGGAACUGAGACACGGUCCAGAAUCCUACGGGAGGCAGCAGUGGGGAAUAUUGGACAAUGGGCGCAAGCCUGAUCCAGCCAUGCCGCGUGUGUGAAGAAGGCCUUCGGGUUGUAAAGCACUUUCAGCGAGGAGGAAGGGGUGUGUGUUAAUAGUACACACCUUUGACGUUACUCGCAGAAGAAGCACCGGCUAACUCUGUGCCAGCCGCCGCAGUAAGAC